UACAGAGGUCUCAAGCGUUGUUCGGAUUCAUUGGGCGUAAAGGGUGCGCAGGCGGCGCGGUAAGUCGGGUGUGAAAUCUUGGAGCUUAACUCCGAAACUGCAUUCGAUACUGCCGUGCUUGAGGACUGGAGAGGAGACUGGAAUUCCUGGUGUAGCGGUGAAAUGCGCAGAUAUCAGGAAGAACACCCGUGGCGAAGGCGGCUCUCUGGAACGCAACUGACGCUGAGACGCGAAAGCGUGGGGAGCAAACAGG
rnacentral:rRNA from 1 species